rnacentral:rRNA from 1 species
AUUGAACGCUGGCGGCAGGCCUAACACAUGCAAGUCGAGCGAGCGGCGGACGGGUGAGUAAUGUCUGGGAAACUGCCUGAUGGAGGGGGAGAACUACUGGAAACGGUAGCUAAUACCGCAUACCAUCAGAUGUGCCCACAUGGGAUUAGAUAGAGGGUGGGGUAACGGCUCACCUAGGCGACGAUCCCUAGCUGGUCUGAGAGGAUGACCAGCCACACUGGAACUGAGACACGGUCCAGACUCCUACGGGAGGCAGCAGUGGGGAAUAUUGCACAAUGGGCGCAAGCCUGAUGCAGCCAUGCCGCGUGUGUGAAGAAGGCCUUCGGGUUGUAAAGCACUUUCAGCGGGGAGGCGUUACCCGCAGAAGAAGCACCGGCUAACUCCGUGCCAGCAGCCGCGGUAAUUC